UCGAACGAAGUAGCAAUACUUAGUGGCAGACGGGUGAGUAACAUGUGGGUAUCUUCCCUUUGGUGAGGAAUAACACGAGGAAACUUGUGCUAAUACCUCAUAAGUCUUUACGGAGAAAGCUUUAUGCGCCAAUGGAUGAGCCUGCACUUGAUUAGUUUGUUGGUAGGGUAAUGGCCUACCAAGACUGUGAUCAAUAGCUGAUUUGAGAGGAUGAUCAGCCACAUUGGGACUGAGACACGGCCCAAACUCCUACGGGAGGCAGCAGUAGGGAAUCUUGCACAAUGGAGGAAACUCUGAUGCAGCGAUGCCGCGUGAGUGAAGAAGGCCUUUGGGUUGUAAAGCUCUUUCGUCGGGGAAGAAAAUGACUGUACCCGAAUAAGAAGGUCCGGCUAACUUCGUGCCAGCAGCCGCGGUAAUACGAAGGGACCUAGCGUAGCUCGGAAUUACUGGGCUUAAAGAGUUCGUAGGUGGUUAAAAAAGUUGGUGGUGAAAUCCCAGAGCUUAACUCUGGAACUGCCAUCAAAACUUUUUAGCUAGAGUAUGAUAGAGGAAAGCAGAAUUUCUAGUGUAGAGGUGAAAUUCGUAGAUAUUAGAAAGAAUACCGAUUGCGAAGGCAGCUUUCUGGAUCAUUACUGACACUGAGGAACGAAAGCAUGGGUAGCGAAGAGGAUUAGAUACCCUCGUAGUCCAUGCCGUAAACGAUGUGUGUUAGACGUUGGAAAUUUAUUUUCAGUGUCGCAGCGAAAGCAAUAAACACACCGCCUGGGGAGUACGACCGCAAGGUUAAAACUCAAAUGAAUUGACGGGGACCCGCACAAGUAGUGGAGCAUGUGGUUUAAUUCGAAGAUACGCGCAGAACCUUACCAACACUUGACAUGUUCGUCGCGACUCUAAGAGAUUAGAGUUUUCGGUUCGGCCGGACGAAACACAGGUGCUGCAUGGCUGUCGUCAGCUCGUGUCGUGAGAUGUUGGGUUAAGUCCCGCAACGAGCGCAACCCUCACUUUUAGUUGCCAUCAUUUAGUUGGGCACUCUGAAAGAACUGCCAGUGAUAAGCUGGAGGAAAGGUGGGGAUGACGUCAAGUCCUCAUGGCCCUUACG
rnacentral:rRNA from 1 species